UAAAGUUUUGGGUUUCCCCAGUGUUCUGAAAGCAGUUUGUGCUAUAUUGAAUGAAAUUGGAGAUGUAUUAAAAAUUUUGGUAUUUAUUUUUCAAAUAAGAAUGUGUCUGGAGAUCAAGACCCUUGGCUCGUCGGGAGUCCAGUUCAAUGAAGCUGAAAGGAGGACAUACCUGAGCUAUUUCUGCGUUCGUAGUCAUGGAUCUGCCUCGUGUCUGGAAACGCUUUGGCUCCUAGCACAACCUGAAUUGGAACAAGGGCUGGAAGUCAGCAUUCAGAAUUAGAAAACUGCUAGGCAUUAUAGCCUGAAGCACUCUGGGAAUGAUACCCACCACUGGAGAUAUUUCCUUCAAGAGUUACGUUGGAGUUGUGAUUAUCAGAAGCUACAUUAUUUAAAAAGGUCAGAGUCUCUGCAGGUGAAAUCACAGCUGAGGCCACUCAUUCUCUAAUGGAUGGUGGACUAAGGAAGUAUCACGGCAUAAGUUUAACAGGCACCUUGUGGGCACUGGUUCCAUCGGCUCUUCUGCCUGUCCUUUCCAAGACACGUG